GUGUACCCGCGGCAAGACGGAAAGACCCCGUGAACCUUUACUAUAGCUUGACACUGAACAUUGAGCCUUGAUGUGUAGGAUAGGUGGGAGGCUUUGAAGCGUGGACGCCAGUCUGCGUGGAGCCGACCUUGAAAUACCACCCUUUAAUGUUUGAUGUUCUAACGUUGGCCCCUUACCGGGGUUGCGGACAGUGUCUGGUGGGUAGUUUGACUGGGGCGGUCUCCUCCCAAAGCGUAACGGAGGAGCACGAAGGUUAGCUAAUCCUGGUCGGACAUCAGGAGGUUAGUGCAAUGGCAUAAG
rnacentral:rRNA from 1 species